rnacentral:rRNA from 1 species
AUAUUAUUUAUAUAUAGUUUUUUAUAUCUUUUAUAAUUACUUAUUUUUUUUUUAGUAUUUUUUAAAACUAAUAUAUUUUAUUUACUGAUAAGGAUUAUUAUAUAAUAUUUUGAUUUAAUUUUUAGUACCUUUUGUAUCAGGGUGGGUUAAUUAAUUUAAUUAUUUUAUUAUCCCGAAUUAAAAAGUUAUAAUAUUAUUUUAUUCUAAAUGUUUUAAUAUUUUUUUUAAAUUAAUAUUAGUAGUUAUAUACUAUUCAUUUUUUAUAUAUCUGGUUAUUAAGGAAUUUAAUUAAAUUAAGUGUUUAAUUUUAAAUAAAAACUUAAUUAUUUAUUAAACAUAAUUAUAUUAGGGAUAAUCUUAAUAUUUUAAUAUAAUUUUAUAUUUAAAAUAUUUUUUUACUUUAAAAUUUUGUAUUAAGUUUUUAUAAAAUUAUUAUUGUUAAUUAUUAUUUUAUAUAAUUUAUUUUUUUACUUGAUUUUUUUAUAUAAUAUAUAUAUUUAUUUAAUAAUGAUUUAAUUAGUAUGGUAUUUAUUUAAUUUUAAAUGAACUCGACAAAUUUUAUUUCCAACUGUUUAACAAAAACAUUUCUUUUUGAUUUUAAAAAAAGUAUUUUCUGCCCAAUGAUUAAUUUUAAAUGGCCGCAGUAUACUAACUGUGCAAAGGUAGCAAAAUAACUAGUUUCUUAAUUAGAAGCUUGAAUGAAUGGAUAUAUGUGAUUUAAAUUUUAUUGAAGUUAUUACUAUAAUUUUAAUUUUGAGUCAAAAUGCUCAAUUAUUUUUUAGGGACGAUAAGACCCUAUAGAACUUAAUAUAUAAAUUAAUUAAUUUUUUUAUUAUAUAAAUUGUAUUAAUUUAUAUUUUUUGUUGGGGUGAUAGUUAAAUUAUAACUUUAAUUUUUUUAAUCAUUAGUUUAUGUAAUUUUGGAUCCACUUUAAAAAUGAUAUUAAGAUUAAGUUACCUUAGGGAUAACAGCGUAAUUUUAGUGGGGAGUUCAUAUCUAUACUAAGUUUUGCGACCUCGAUGUUGAAUUAAGAAAAAAAAAAGAAGCAGAAUUCUUUUGUUUAAGUCUGUUCGACUUUUAAAUUCUUACAUGAUUUGAGUUCAGACCGGCGUAAGCCAGGUUGGUUUCUAUCUUAAAAUUUUAUAAUUUAAAUUAGUUAGUACGAAAGGACCAUUAAUUUAUACAUUGUUAUUUUUUUUUAUU